rnacentral:rRNA from 1 species
UACGAGGGGAGCAAGCGUUGUUCGGAUUUACUGGGCGUAAAGGGCGCGUAGGCGGUCGUGACAAGUCACUUGUGAAAUCUCCGGGCUUAACUCGGAACGGGCAAGUGAUACUGUCGGACUAGAGUACAGAAGGGGCAACUGGAAUUCUCGGUGUAGCGGUGAAAUGCGUAGAUAUCGAGAGGAACACCUGCGGCGAAGGCGGGUUGCUGGGCUGAUACUGACGCUGAUGCGCGAAAGCCAGGGGAGCGAACGGG